AGCUCCAAUAGCGUAUAUUAAAGUUGUUGCAGUUAAAAAGCUCGUAGUUGGAGAUGGGAGGGGUGUUGUGGUCGGUCGGCAACGGCGUGUACUGCAACACGACUCCAUUGCGUGGAACGUGACAGGUCAAACUGGCACAUACCACGUGGUUACCUUGAGGAAAUCAGAGUGUUCAAAGCAGGCGUACGCCUGAAUAGAUUAGCAUGGAAUAACGGAAUACGGCGCGGGUCCUAUUUUGUUGGUUUCUACGACACGCAGCGAUGAUCAAUAGGGACAGUUGGGGGCAUUCGUAUUUUGGAGUCAGAGGUGAAAUUCUUGGAUUUCCGAAAGACGAACGUUUGCGAAAGCAUUUGCCAAGGAUGUUUUCA
rnacentral:rRNA from 1 species